GCCAGGCAAAGUCAGGCAAAGACAGGCCAGGCCAGGACAGGCAAGGACAGGCAAGGAAAGGCCAGGAUAGGAAAGGCAUGGCAAGGAAAGGCAAGGCCAGGUUAGGCAAGGCCGGGACAGGCAAGGCCAGGCAAGGCAAAGCAAGGCCAGGCAAUGAACAGUAAUUCAAUGCAAGGCCAGGAAGGUAAGGUAAGGAAUGGCAGGGCAAUGCCAGGCCAGGCAAGGCAAGGCAAGGAAGGGCAAGACCAGGCCAGGCCAGGCAAGGCAAGGCAAGGGAGGGCAAGACCAGGCCACGCCAGGCAAAGCAAGGCAAGCCAAGGCCAGGCAAAGCAAGGAAAAGGCUUCCCAGGAAAAGCAAGGCACGGCAAGGCCAGGCAAGGCCAGGCAAACCAAGUCAGGGGAAGGCCAGGCAAGGCAAGGCAAGACCAGGCAAGGCCAGACCAGGCAAGGCAAGGCAAGGCAAGGAAAGACAAAGCAAGGCCAGGCAAGACCAGACAAGGCAAGGCAAGACCUGGCAAGGCCAAGCAAGGCAAGGCAAGACCAGGCCAGUCCAGGCCAGGCCAGGCUAGGCAAGGGCUGGCAAGGCAAGGUAAGGGUAGACAAGGCCAGGCAAUGCAUGGAAAGGCACGGCAAGGCAAGGACAGUGAGAUCCAGGAAAUGUAAGGCCAGGCAAGGUCAGGCUUGGCAAGGCCAGACAAGGCAAAGCCAUACCAGACCAGGCCAGACCAGGCCAGCCAAGGGAAGACAAGGCCAAAAAGGCAUGGCAAGGCAAGGCAUGCCAAGGCCAGGGAAGGUCAGCCUGCGCAAGGCAAUGCCAGGCAAGGCCUGGCAGGCCAAGGCCCGGCCAGGCAAGACCAGGCCAGGCAAGACCCGGCUAGGCAAGGGAAGGCAAGGCCAAAAAGGAAAGGCAAUGCAAGGCAUGCCGAGGCCAGGCAAGGCAAAGCAAGGCAAGGCAAGGCAAGGCAAGAAAAGGCAAGGCAAGGUCAGGCCUGGCAAAGCAAGGCCAGGGCAGGCCAGG
ensembl:lncRNA